CAGGGACACCUUCCACUAGCCCAGGUUGCUCCAGGCCCCGUCCAACCCGGCCUUGGGCACUUCCAGGGGAUUAAGGCAAGAUCCGUUUAAGUGAGGCUGGUAGGAGCAAUCCCAGAGAAACGCCUGGGGAUUAAAGUGAGUAAUUCCAGCUGCACAGAAGCCACGGGACAGGUCUGGCAGGGAGCUGUAAUUGCAUUAAUGUGCAGACGGGAAGGUUUGUGCCUCCGGGUUCGGCAGGGCUUGGAAUCUCCCGAGUCAGAGCCUGUGACCUCCCGAGUUAGAACCUGUGAAUUCCCAUCCCAGGGUGGGUUAGAACUGGGACCGCCCUGUCCCUUCCCAGGUUAGAACCAGUGGCCCCCAGUCUGGGUUAGAGCUGGGGACCCCUCUCCCCAGUUAGAGUUAGAACCAUUGACUCUCCCACUGUGCGUUAGAAUCGGGGAUGCCCAUCCCAGCACAGAUUAGAACUGGGGACCCCCACUCCCAGCCCAGUGACCCCCCCAGUCUGGGUUAGAGCUGCAGUCCCCUGUCCCCAAUUAGAGUCACAACCAGCCCGGCUUGGAACCAGUAACCUCCCAGUCUGCGUUGAACUGGGGACCCCCAGCCCAGCCCAGGAAGAACUGGAGCAGCAGCUGUGGGGUUGAGCCUGCUGGUGUGGACGUGGAGAGCAGAGAGGAAAUGUCAAAACCUGCUCUCACGCUUGGCAAAACAUCAUCAAGUGAUUCCCAAGGCCUCAGAGGGCCCCCUGUGCACCCUAAAGGACCUGCCACAGCCUGGACAGCCAGUUAAACAGCAGAAAUGAUGGCAAAUAUCAUCAAUUAUGAGAAAUGUGAGUACUGGAGAGAAUUAACAACAGACAAACAAACUCAGCAGUUCCUCAGUGCACAACCCCUGCCCCUUCCCAACAGGGCCUCACUUCCUUCAGUCCCAAGGCUCCCAACCAACAUUCAGUGCACAGCACAAACUCCCACAUCCAACAAGAGCUCCCCACCUUCUCCCUGGGAAACAUUUUGGCCAAAGGAAGAGAAAAAAUGAAGGCAAAAGACAAGGGGGCACCUGGAGUUGAACCAGGGACCUCUUGAUCUGCAGUCAAAUGCUCUACCACUGAGCUAUACCCCCCUUGGUGCAGGAUGUGCACAGGUAGAUAUAAAAAACCAUUUAUUUGGAAAGAAACAA